rnacentral:Y_RNA from 1 species
GGCUGGUCUGAUGGGAAUGGGUUAUCGGAACUUAUUAAUAUUACCGUCACUAAAUUUGGUAUACAACUCUCCCACUGCUAAAUUUGACUGGCAAAG